CUCGCAGGACCCCCACAACAGCCUUUCGUAUCGCAGCCCUGUUUCUCCCCGACAUCCGCAGCACGAGCCUCGCGCGCGCGCCACGUCCAGGGCUCUCGCGCUGGGGACCGGGGGAAAGUUUUAUUGUUGUAUCUUCUGAAUCAACAGAAUUAUUUAGCAAAUAGAAAGCAAACCAGACGAAAGUAUUUAGCUGCAAUUGAAGCAAGAUGAGUAUUAGCCUUUUGGUUUAAUUAAAUUCACUGUGAUAUUUAACAGAGGUUCCUAUUCUUAAGUUACCGCUUGAGUUUACACAAAAUUCUGCUGCCUCUUCAUCCUGGGCAACACACCGCACACAGUCUAAAAAGUUGAUUAGGUAAUUCUGUGACUAAAACGUUAAAAUAUGGAGCACUUUAGUCCUUGUUCUCACAGCAUCGGCGAGCCCCACGUGUAUUUGCAGUAAUAAACCAGGAAUAGCGUACAGCAGCAUACAUAAUGCUCUCUGAAUUCGGAACGCUUUACACAUCAACUUUCAGUGCCGCAAAAUAAGCGGCUCAUCUCGUUUGUUCUUCGUUAGCAGUGGUACCCAGGAUGUGCUAUACAUCGCACACAGAUAAAUGAUUCAUCCCCACUGCAGCAGGGCACGUACUUGCCGCCUUACGCCCUGCUGUAGUAACCGAUUUGACUAAGGCCACAGCGCGAGCCAUUGCCGUAGCGGCAGCACCCCCCGGUCCUAUCCUGAGUCAGGGAUAAAACAGGGAAAAGCCCGUGUUCCUCUCCAGCAUCCCCACAUUGCUGUGGAAAUCGCUCGGUUCGGUCCCUACACCUUGGCACGUUCGUAAUCUGCAUUUUGUUUCACCCUCCCAUCAUUUUCUUGACAGAUUCAAGUAAUAUAAAGGAGUAAUUAAUCAGGGGCAGGGGAGAUGGUGAGAGUGCACCGUAAAAUAAACAUACGUUUGGCUGGUGUUCAUUAACUGCUUUCAAAAUUUCAUGGACUCGGUGGAGGAAGGGCCACCAAAGGCACACAAGCAAACCCGGCAGCUCCUCUGAGGCACCUCGCUGCGCCCCGCAGCGAGCGGGAAUUGCACGACUAGAAGCACCGGGGCACUGACACGGAGUUCGUCGGACCAACCCAACUCCUCCUGAGGUCUUUGGAAAGGAGACGGCAGCGGAGCUGCGUGCAGGGACCUGGCAGCUACAGCAAUCGGCAGAAUAUAAUCACAUAGAUACGAUUAGACGUAAGCGUGGGGAGAGCCAUCGCGGAGAUGAAAAGCUACGUUCAGUUAAAUAAGCGUUGCACCUGGAUCCAGUUUAGAAGACAACAACCCGGGUAUUUAUUUAAAUGCUGUCUAUUAGAGAGAACACAAACAUAAGGCUCAAAAAUUAUCCUUGUAGCUGCGAUACAAUAUAAUGCCUUCACUUUCACUUAUCCACACGCUACUCAUUUAAGGUACUUCAGUUACAGAACUACCACAAUACUCAUCGAUCAGCAGCAUAAAAUUCUGCGCAGCAUCUUGGGCAAUCUUAAAAAUUAACAGUCUCUGCACUGUGAUCUUUUUACGUAUUGCCACAAACAGAUGUAAAAGGGGCGCUGACAUGAUGGAAGGGCGGCUACCCGCCUUGCUGGGUAUUAAUUUUCCAGCCCAUCAAAUAAAAGAGACACACAGGUGCGAGAACAAGGUGCUAAGAAAACUCCUUUUGGCAGGAAGAGCUCAACAAAACCCCGAGCGAGGAGCGAUUGCGAUGCCAGCCAGCGCCUCGCUCUGCCCUGCCGUGCACCCUCGCUGCUCUCCUGACCUGUCCGAUACAGCGCAGCCGCAACGUGCAUCGUAAUCAUUCGCUACAACCUGUAAGACGGAGCAGAUCAGACAUUUACAUCUGUCCCAUCCUCCCAGCUGUCUUCACACAAAAUCCGUGUGCCCAGACACAUAGAUAUGCCGGGAGCCUACGCUUGCUUGUCAGUCUAGGAAGCAGGAGCCGCAGUCGAAAAUAGCAGAACCCGGAUUAUGGCAAGAGGCCAACGGUUUCCAGUUCUCCGAGCGCCUAUUUCCCCAUCGUCCCUUCUUUUCCUGACACAGGGGAGGCUCACUAAGGCAUCGGUAUGGGUUAAAUCCUUCAUUUGGCGUGACCUAACUCAUUUCUGCCACACACAGCCCCUCCGCUGAACAGUACCGGCGAGGAAGGCGGAGGUCCGCAGGAGGAUUCUGGUUCAUCUGUGGCACAAGUACAACACGAACGUGAUUUGCAAAGAUCUGGAAUCCCACGCUCUUGGGUAAGCCUGGAAAACCACGGUUCAAGCAGAAAGCUGCCCAGAUGUUACAAACCUUAAAAAAAUAGAGCAAAAGGCAGCAGGAUGACAGGAGACAUCACCCUCCGACCCCACCCUACCACAGAGAGCUGGAGAGGAUUUCUUCCCCCGCUCCGUCAGACUUUCAGGACCAAGUUCUGAACAAGAAGGGCGUAACGCAGACCGCUGGCAGAACGGGAGGCGCUCCACGGGCGAAGGCUUUGAUUCAGGUGGGUGAGGGACUCACCCCAUCUCCUCCUUCCUUCCUUCCUAGAUCCCAAUGUGCGAUUAAAAACUGAGUGCGAGCUGUGGGAAAUAAUGCUGAGCCUGCAAACAGUGAUUCAUUCUUACGGAGGCUGAAGCAAUUCCUGAAGAAGAAACAAAGCCGGAACCAUCAUCUGCCACGUACGGAAUUUCUCCUUCCCUGUCUGUCACACCCGGCAAGCCUUAGAGCUUUGUCAAAAACCCAUCGAAACCCUCCCCGAAACAGUUGUUCAUUAGGAACCCCGCUGGUUGCAGAAAGACUCCCUCGACACUCCUGGCUUUUUGCACCCCCCUCCCAGUGCGCUGCCUAAGAGGAGCUGGAGAAACGGUGCUGCCUCUCCGUGCCCUGAGGGGUGACGGUUCAGAAACGCUCAGGAGAAACUCCAGGCUGUUGGUGACCGCUCCGGGCAAGCCGGGUUUCCAGUGAGGAAGGAAGGAAACAUCAAGCUCCUCGUGCCUGGAGGCACCUUACGCUUUACGCUCUUGCUUCAGGUAGCGAACAGAGGCGACGGAGAGCGGAGCUGAUGGAAACGGUUGGUUUUAAUGCAGACAGGGCAGCGAUGUAACACGGCCACACAGGUCUUGAUCCUCACUGCUGCUUGGCCCCUCUUCAAAAAUAAAGGUUAAUUCAUUUCCCCAGCAAAAGUGUUCUCUAAAAUGAAUGUUCGUGAAAACGCUUGCUUCCUUUGAACCUGAACAUCCUUAAACUAUUUUCCUGAAGUGCUGAAAGCUUGGGAUGUUCUGUGAGUUAGCUGCAAUUCACCUCUGCAUCAGCCUACAGAAUGACCAAAGUUUAGCUCUCACCUCUUUUAAGCCCCAUCUAAUUAUGCAACUUGACCAGAACAACAGUUUGGCUGAACACACAACAGUCCCGUCGUCAUAUUUGGAUGUGGGGAGACAGAAGGGAAAAGCUGUUUUGUUCAAAGUUCGAGCGUUUCUACGGCGCUUGACUGACGUGGAAGACAGAGCCCUCUCCAGCGUAUCCGAAAUCGAAUACCUUUUUCUCCUGUGUCUUGGAUGUGCCCACCUCUACCUGAAUAGACAGACGGUGUGUCGAGGUGCGUACGACCGGAGAGCCCGACUGCAGACGGGGACUUUGCACCUGAGGCAACUCUCACGGAAAGGUUCAGUCGCAUUGAAGAGGUUCCCGUACGCGCCUCCCGGUCGUACGAAACAUUCAGUCUUCAACUGAUGAAAACACCAGGGUUUAGGUAACCACACCCUGCUCACAUCAAACUUUUCCCUAACUAGUCCUGGCUAGUUUGUAGAUUAUUUUGUUCUUGUACCUUGGCAGCACAUCAGGCUCCAUUCCUGAACCAUUCUAAGAUGUUUCGGUUAAU